AGGGUUUGAUCAUGGCUCAGGAUGAACGCUGGCGGCGUGCUUAACACAUGCAAGUCGAGCGAAGCAAAUCAGAGGAAGUUUUCGGACGGAAUCCGAUUUGACUGAGCGGCGGACGGGUGAGUAACGCGUGGGUAACCUGCCUCAUACAGGGGGAUAACAGUUAGAAAUGGCUGCUAAUACCGCAUAAGCGCACGAAGCUGCAUGGCUUAGUGUGAAAAACUCCGGUGGUAUGAGAUGGACCCGCGUCUGAUUAGCUAGUUGGUGAGGUAACGGCCCACCAAGGCGACGAUCAGUAGCCGACCUGAGAGGGUGACCGGCCACAUUGGGACUGAGACACGGCCCAA
rnacentral:rRNA from 1 species